UCGAGAAUCUUUGUCAAUGGGCGCAAGCCUGAACAAGCGAUGCCGCGUGCGGGAUGAAGGCCUUCGGGUUGUAAACCGCUGUCAGAGGGGAGCAAAUUUUGAGCGAUCCUCAGAGGAAGCCCGGGCUAAGUUCGUGCCAGCAGCCGCGGUAACACGAACCGGGCAAACGUUAUUCGGAAUCACUGGGCUUAAAGGGUGCGUAGGCGGCACGGUCAGUCGGGUGUGAAAUCCCCCAGCUCAACUGGGGAACUGCGCCCGAUACUGCUGUGCUUGAGGGAGAUAGAGGUGAGCGGAACGAAUGGUGGAGCGGUGAAAUGCGUUGAUAUCAUUCGGAACACCUGUGGCGUAAGCGGCUCACUGGGUCUCUUCUGACGCUGAGGCACGAAAGCUAGGGGAGCGAACGGGAUUAGAUACCCCCGUAGUCC
rnacentral:rRNA from 1 species